GACGAACGCUGGCGGCGUGCUUAACACAUGCAAGUCGAACGGAAAGGCCCUGCUUUUGUGGGGUGCUCGAGUGGCGAACGGGUGAGUAACACGUGAGUAACCUGCCCUUGACUUUGGGAUAACUUCAGGAAACUGGGGCUAAUACCGGAUAUGAGCUCCUGCUGCAUGGUGGGGGUUGGAAAGUUUCGGCGGUUGGGGAUGGACUCGCGGCUUAUCAGCUUGUUGGUGGGGUAGUGGCUUACCAAGGCUUUGACGGGUAGCCGGCCUGAGAGGGUGACCGGCCAAAUUGGGACUGAGAUACGGACCAGACUAGUACGGGAGGCAGCAGUGGGGAAUAGUGCACAAUGGGCGGAAGCCUGAUGCAGCAACGCCGCGUGCGGGAUGACGGCCUUCGGGUUGUAAACCGCUUUCGCCUGUGACGAAGCGUGAGUGACGGUAAUGGGUAAAGAAGCACCGGCUAACUACGUG
rnacentral:rRNA from 1 species